rnacentral:rRNA from 1 species
GGAGUUAGCCGGUGCUUCUUCUGUGAGUGAUGUCCUUCCUGCCGGCUAUUAACCCGCAGGCCUUCUUCCUCACUGAAAGUGCUUUACAACCCGAAGGCCUUCUUCACACACGCGGCAUGGCUGGAUCAGGGUUGCCCCCAUUGUCCAAUAUUCCCCACUGCUGCCUCCCGUAGGAGUCUGGGCCGUGUCUCAGUCCCAGUGUGGCUGAUCAUCCUCUCAGACCAGCUACGGAUCGUCGCCUUGGUGAGCCGUUACCUCACCAACCAGCUAAUCCGACAUAGGCUCAUCCGAUAGCGCGAGGCCCGAAGGUCCCCCGCUUUCCCCCGUAGGGCGUAUGCGGUAUUAGCCUGGGUUUUCCCCAGGUUAUCCCCCACUACCGGGCAGAUUCCUAUGCAUUACUCACCCGUCCGCCGCUCGCCACCAGGGAGCAAGCUCCCCGUGCUGCCGCUCGACUUGCAUGUGUUAGGCCUGCCGCCAGCGUUCAAUCUGAGCCAGAAUCGAACCCUGA